rnacentral:rRNA from 1 species
UAACAAGGAUUCCCCUAGUAACUGCGAGUGAAACGGGAAGAGCUCAAAUUUUGAAUCUGGCGGUCUUUCGGCCGUCCGAGUUGUAAUCUAGAGAAGCGUUUUCCGCGCUGGACCGUGUACAAGUCUCCUGGAAGGGAGCGUCAUAGAGGGUGAGAAUCCCGUCUCUGACACGGACUACCAGUGCUAUGUGAUGCGCUCUCGACGAGUCGAGUUGUUUGGGAAUGCAGCUCAAAUCGGGUGGUAAACUCCAUCUAAAGCUAAAUACAGGCGAGAGACCGAUAGCGAACAAGUACCGUGAGGGAAAGAUGAAAAGAACUUUGGAAAGAGAGUUAAACAGUACGUGAAAUUGCUGAAAGGGAAACGCUUGAUGUCAGUCGCGUCGGCCGGGGAUCAACCUUGCUUUUCGCUGGGCGUAUUUCCUGGUCGACGGGUCAGCAUCAGUUUCGGUCGUCGUACAAGGGCGGAGGGAACGUGGCACUCUUCGGGGUGUGUUAUAGCCUUUCGUCGUAUGCGAGGGUCGGGACUGAAGAACUCAGCACCGCUCGCGGUCUGUGCUCAGGAUGCUGGCAUAAUGGCCUUAAGCGACCCGUCUUGAAACACGGACCAAGGAGUCUAACAUGCCUGCGAGUGUUUGGGUGGCAAACCCGAGCGCGAAACGAAAGUGAAAGUUGAGACCUCUGUCGUGGAGGGCAUCGACGCCCGGACCUGAGUCUUUGACGAAGGAUCUGCGGUAGAGCAUGUAUGUUGGGACCCGAAAGAUGGUGAACUAUGCCUGAAUAGGGUGAAGCCAGAGGAAACUCUGGUGGAGGCUCGUAGCGAUUCUGACGUGCAAAUCGAUCGUCGAAUUUGGGUAAUAGGGGCGAAAGACUAUCGAACCAU